AGUGUCACAGUCCUCCAUUAAUGAACACGCCACAACAACGAAAAAUUAAAGAAAUUUAUAAAUAAUCGAUAAACAUCAGUAACAACAAAUGAAAAAAACGGAACAAGGUGGAAAUUUAUUCAUAAAAAUAGACGAUUUCUUCCUGAUGAUGAGGGCUCAGAUUCCUCGAAACAUGUAGAAA